UGACAGGGGUGCUGUAACAGGCUGAGAUCGCCUUCGGGCGGAACCCUUUAACCUGAUAUGGGUAAUGCCGGCGUAGGGAGUUGA
rnacentral:ncRNA from 1 species